rnacentral:misc_RNA from 1 species
GAUGAAGAACGUAGCGAAAUGCGAUACUUGGUGUGAAUUGCAGAAUCCCGCGAAUCAUCGAGUUUUUGAACGCAAGUUGCGCCCGAAGCCAUUCGGCCGAGGGCACGUCUGCCUGGGUGUCACGCAUCGUUGCCCCCCCCAAACUCCGGUUCGGGCAGGGCGGAAGUUGGCCUCCCGUGCGUGCCUGCGCGCGCGGUUAGCCCAAAAGCGAGUCCUCGGCGACGAGCGCCACGACAAUCGGUGGUUUUUUUACCCUCGUUCCUCGUCGUGCGUGCCCCGUCGCCCGAACGCGCUCUUGUGACCCUCACGCGUCGCCUCGGCGGCGCUCCCAACGCGACCCCAGGGCAGGCGGGACUACCCGCUGAGUUUAAGCAUAUCAAUAAGCGGAGGA